CCGCCUGUACCCGCCCGCCUGCGAUUUUUUUCGGAUCCACAAUCAGCGCACGCUUGAUAGGCACUUCCCAAUCCGCCGCCCCCGUCUCCUGCCCUUUUCUUCCUCCCAAUCCGCGGCCGAGGGAGGCGUGGCGGGGGGCGGCACUACAGCUGGCGCGGGAGGCGUAGGCGUGGCGGGGAGCGGCGCUGCAGCGGGCGUGGAUGGGGGCGGCGUCCCUCUCCUUCACUCGGGCACGCGCGUCUGCCGGAGCUGCGCACGGGCGGGACAUGGCGUGGCGAGCCGUGGUGCGGCUGGUCUGCGCGCGCGCGGAGGCCGAGGUGCGGCAUGCGAGAGGAGGGGGAGCGGAGCGGUCAGGCCGUCGGCGCGGAUCCGGCGGCAGGCAGGCCUUCCAUGGCGGCGUGUGGGAGGGCAAGUUGCUUCCUUGUUGCUCCCGGACUCUGGCGGUUACAAAGGGGGCGGAGGAGGAGGAGCCAGCUCCAGCCUCCAUCUGCUCGCUCCACCCCGCGGCUGCUCCAGCUCCCUGCUCACGAUCGAGGUUCAAUUACUUGUGAAAUCCAAUACUUGAUGGGAUAUUUGGGAUGGGCUAAUUAAUGUUGAGAAGAAGCUAUUCAUGGAAGUGCUGCAUAAAUUUGAGUAGACCCAGAGGCAUGGAAGCUCCAGUGCUCCAAAUGUGGAUGGUAUAGAAUUUUUUUUACUUUUGAUGACUAGCAGGAAUUUAAUUAUUCUCUCUUUUGAUUACCAUUAGCAGUUUUAGAAAUUUGACUACCAUCAGGAUGGAAUCGUGGAAAAAAAAAUCAAAGUGCCCAAGAACUUGAGUGUAUGCCAAAUGCCGAAGGAAGAAACAAGUACCUUGAGCUACUACUCUCUAUCAUAGAGGUUUUCAGUCCAAACAGGCAAGCGUCACGGAAGCUAAUUACAUGUGUCUUAACAUAAUUUCUUCCUGUUACUAUUUUACAGAAAAGAUUACAAAUUUAGCAGUUUAAAAAACACUAUAGUUUCACAGUGUUCAUGCUAUCUCUUUCUGCAGAGUCUUCUGUUUUCCUCAUUGAGCAAUCCAAUAAGCAAUAGAUCAGGUUGUUUCCUGCACAACGCCAUGACAUCUAUUGCCGCACUUGGCAUGUGGCAGUGGAAUUGGUACUGCCGAGUCCUUGGGCGUUUCAUGCUACAUCUAAAUGUGGUUACAUAAUCCCAAUCUCGCAUGUUCUGAAUCGGAGGAUCAGAUUAGGAGUAGGCACACUUUCUUAUUAGAAUAGUUAUUGGCUAAUAACUGGAUAGGUUAGGAUUGAUACUCUGAUGAACAUAAGCUACUCAUGGGAUCUGUUACUUGCAAUGGGGAUGUGAUCCAGAGUGAGCAGACGCACCUGUUUCAGUGAUGAGUUGACCAAUGGAUUCCAAGUUUCAAGCUACAUGGUUUUAUUUUCGUAUAAUUAACCAGUUUCAAGCUAGAAGUACUUUUGUGUUUAACUCAUGUGAUGUAACCAGGUAUAGUUAUUCGGUAGAGCUACUAUUUUCUUUUACUAAAUUACUUGAUAUAUGCACAUGUAUCCUAGAGGUCUCGCUGAUAUAAAUAGAUCCAAUUAAGUCUUGAACAUUGAGAUAAAUUAGAAUCCAAUAGCACAUCAGAUUAAAUCUGGUAUGGUGUUGUUCUAUUAUAUCAAAAUUUUAAUUAGUAUCGUAUCAACAUAUUGAAUGAGAUGUGUGGCUUUUAUUGCAUAUUGGGGGUACAUAAUUGCUUAAGGCCAAUACUAUUGGUUAGUUGUCUUGCUAAACUGACAUUUCAACAUAAAUACAUACUUGGCUAGGCUUAUUGUUGUGAUAAUCAAUAUUACUUGUUAGCUAACUAAAUAUUUUCUUUCAUUUUUUCUUCAGCUCAUGAUAUUAGCUAACUAAAUACUUAGUAGAAUACUACUCCGUCCCAACAAAGAAUGCAGUUCUAAGAAUGCACAUGGAUGUCACAUUGUCUAGAUACAUAGCCAGAAUUGCAUUCUUUGUUGGAAUAUAGAGGGAGUAGGUGCCAAGGGUCUUUUUUUAAAAAUGAAUAGGUGCUAAGGGCAGGCCAGCAAGAAAACUGAAUAAGGGCGUGUCAUCAAAAUAAGAUAGUCUAGCACUGAUUGUGGUCCUUUUGAUUAGCCAAACAAUUUACUGCAGCGCAUGAGAAAUCGAGUGGGCCUAACACAUGCUAUUCCCGAGGGAUGCAAACAAUGUAUUGAAUGGUUUGUGUUUGUUGCGACAGAUUGGAAAAGAUACACGAUGGAGACCACAUUCUAUUUGUUAAGUGAUCUUAGAUUUUUAUGGGCUAAUCUAUUGGGGUUUUCAAUAUAUACUAUGGUUGAGUGGGGCUCAAUUCUGUGUGAGUAAACUAAUCAUAGAUUUUUAUGAAAAAAUAAAAUGUUCAAGCUACAUGUACUUAUUUGCUAUAAAUACCAAACUAUUGACAGUUAGAUUUUCUAUAUAAGUAUCAGUUCUUGUUUAUUAUGUUCGAAACACGCGUGUGGCGCACGUGUUCUUUACUAUUAGGAAUAAAGAUAGAGAUAUGUUAUAAUUUAAAUUAUUAACAUUUUGAUGCAUAGUGCUAGAUUAUGUUCCUGCCAUGAUUGUAGGAAUUGUUGUCUAUACUGAAUUUAAGCAUGCUAUCCUCGGGUAUGUUGUGGGAUCUUGCCGCCACCAAUGAAUUGAAUUGAUCUUUUUAGUAAAAAUGAUUUUCGAGAAAUGGUGGUUCUUGUCAUAAUUUUUUAUGUUAAUACUCGUCUCUUUUUGUUAAGGUUCCAUUUCAAACUAUACUAUCAAGAUAGAUCGAAGUGCUUGCCACUAUUUCAGUGAUAAUUUUUUAUUCAAUGUCAAAUUUGGAUGAUCUGAUACUCAUUUUAUGCUUUGAGUGACGAGUACAUGAUCUUAUUCUAAUUUUGUAUGUAAAGGAGCUGAUCUCCAUGCUUGCUGAUAGACAAGGAGUUGCUCUGGCAGUAUACUAUGGGUGUAAAUUUCAGUGGUAUGUAAUUUAUAAAGUGAGCCUCACUCUCUUUAACGCUGAAGUAUUCUUGCAGGACCAUGCAGGUGGCAGCAGGUGUUUUUGGUGGUAAAAAUAUACUAAUGGAUCAUUUCAUUAGCUGUAUACCUUCACUAACGGUGGAAAAUGCAAGGGCUCAGGUGAGUUGAAGCAUGGGUGAGGAGCCUUUACUAUAGAAAAAGGCCUGGCGGAAGUAAGCUAGAAAAGAACAGUACAAGAGAAAAGAAAAGAUUACACAAAAUUAUUUGCAUUCUAUAUAAAUUCUAUAAUAUGUUUGGCUAUGGCAAAUAGUAUGGUUUGGUUUGGAUAAUCCUUCAAAUUGUUGUUGAGAUUUGCUGCCUUGGCUAGCCAGAGAGAGGGAGGGAGGGUUGUUCAUAAAACUGCAGUGAAGGGAAGAGAGAGACAGAGGCAUAAAACUGAAAUCAAGUUACCGCUUGCUCUUGGAAAUUUGAACAGAGUUUCGUGCCACUGAAAAUUUAUAUACUUAAAGUUUUUUGUUUUUAUUAAUGUGAUGAUAUCAAGAAGUAUCAAUGUAGCAGGUGAAGACAGCUAUCCAUAAAAAACAAACAGCUGAUGAAGUUUGGGUACCAAUGUUUGUCUUUGCCUUUUCUUGUUUCUAAUUUCAUAUUUCUUAUUUUAUUUUAUUUGGUUUAUGUAUAACACUCAUCAGCCUUAUGGGAGAUGUACUCCUUUCUUUUGUUUACUGUAGUUAAGAGGAAACAUGUUAUAAGAUCCAGAUUUUUUUUCUGUGGUGGCUACAGUGUUUAUUAUAUUUUAGGAAUUAUUCUUGGCUAUAAAAUACUUAUUUGGUUUUAGGAA